rnacentral:tRNA from 1 species
GCAUUCUUAGUUCAGUUGGUAGAACGCAGGUCUCCAAAAUCUGGUGUCGAGGGUUCGAGUCCUUCAGGGUGCG